ensembl:snRNA U6 U6 spliceosomal RNA
GUGCUCACUUUGGAAGCAUAUAUACUAAAAUUGGAAUGAUACAGAGAAGAUUAGCAUGGCCCCUGUGCAAGGAUGACAUGCAAAUUCGUGAAGUGUUCCAUUAAAAA